rnacentral:rRNA from 1 species
UACGAAGGGGGCUAGCGUUGUUCGGAAUUACUGGGCGUAAAGCGCACGUAGGCGGAUAUUUAAGUCAGGGGUGAAAUCCCAGAGCUCAACUCUGGAACUGCCUUUGAUACUGGGUAUCUUGAGUAUGGAAGAGGUAAGUGGAAUUCCGAGUGUAGAGGUGAAAUUCGUAGAUAUUCGGAGGAACACCAGUGGCGAAGGCGGCUUACUGGUCCAUUACUGACGCUGAGGCGCGACAGCGUGGGGAGCAAACAGG